UACAGAGCCUCUCCACGUCUAAUGGAUCUGUUAAAGACAUUGGAUGGUCAGUGUGGAGGGACUAUGUUUUUAAUGGUGUCAGGGAGCAGGCACACAGUCGACUGCAGAAUUGGUUGAAAUUCACCUGCAGUGCAACAGCGUUGACCCUGAAGGCCAGACUAAUUCACCUCACCACUAUUCACUGCUGUCCUUCCGAUUUUGCUUCUCUAUCUCCUGUUGUAUCAAUUUCUCUUAGUCCAGGUUUUUCUGUCACUGUUGAACAGGUCAUCGCAUCAAAGGUUAAGUAAACUGAUUCAUGUGCAUCCGUCUCUCAUAUGCCCUGAUGUGACUACCCAUUUGCUGAGGAGUGUGAUGCACCAAUGUUGCCUUUCCCACACUUGUAAAUAACUUUUGAAGCAUCAGUUCAUUUGAUUGCCAUUUAAUUAUCACCAGUUGUUUUAAGAAAGGAUGCACAAUAUAUUUUGGUACCAUAUCGAUUAUCGGGU
ensembl:lncRNA